rnacentral:rRNA from 1 species
UAGAACAACUCUCAGCAACGGAUAUCUUGGCUCUUGCAACGAUGAAGAACGCAGCGAAAUGCGAUACGUAGUGUGAAUUGCAGAAUUCCGCGAAUCAUCGAGUUUUUGAACGCAAGUUGCGNNCGAGGNUUGNCCNAGGGCAUUUCCGCUAGAGCGUCACC